ensembl:lncRNA
CUAGAUGAGUCAUAGGAUCUACAGUAUAUGUGUGUAAGAAAGACAGAGAGGGUCUCCUGAUGGGCUUUAAAAGCCAGCAGUCAUCUCUUACAAUAACAAACACAUCAAUCCAGCCCAUCAACCGUGCAAGACUUGAAACACCUUUCUUUUGUGUUUUCAUUCAGGAGACAUGCACGACUGAACACGUUGAAUGUCUUUCGGUAACACGUCAGAAGAUCUGUCUGGGUUUUCAUCAAAGUUGGACCAGGCCAUUUGAGUGUGUCUCUGGAGAAGAGUGCUCCAGGAACAUGCCAGUCUGAAUCUACCCAUGACUGAACAAAUUUCUAGCGCUCCGACAUGCCGAGGUACGUGGAGUUCUGCAGAGAAUUAGCAUUUGGAAACAAUGACAGUACACAGAAAUACACCUUGUGAGCCAGUUAGAUUUGUAUUUGAGAGGAAAUGGGUUGCUCUAAACAGUGAUCGCUUGAGUAUAUCAUGUGUACGGUGGAAGACUGUGAGGCGCUCAUACUGUAGACAUUACACUGCAUAUGUUAGCAUUCAGCGGACUUCCUAAACAUUUCCCAUAAUUGACCUUAAAGGCAGUGUUACUUUAACCUGACAGCAACCAUUCUGCAUUCAGUGUGGCACUAUACUGGAUGUCAAUUGCAGUGGGAAGUGUCAAAUUCACACAUAUGGUACCGUACAGGGUGGAGGUUUAUGUUUACUCAAUCAGUGGUUUUCUUGAGGUUUGCUCUUAAAUGAACAAGGAUAAACUAAACCGUGAUUGGGCUUCUGACAGCACAUUGUGGAUGGAAUUUACUCAUUUAACUGUGUCUGCUGAUACAGUGGUUUAUUUGUGUGUGCUGUCUGCAUUGAAUCAGAGAACAUUUAGCACAGCAUCAAGUUAACGGUGCAAGCCUACCCAAAAAAAUAGUGGUGAACCCAAUUUGCAUGAUGCAUUUCCCCAUUUUACAGGCUGGUUCUGAUUGCUGGGUAGAUGAGGAUGCAGGAGAGUGCACAGAACUGGUUCCAUUUUUAAAAAAUAAAUAAAUAAACAGAAAUACUGCA